rnacentral:rRNA from 1 species
GUCUAUGGCCAUGCCACCCUGAACAAGCCCAAUCCCGUCUUAUCUCGGAAGCCAAGCAGGGUUGGGCCUGGUUAGUCCCUGGAUGGGAGACCACCUAGGAAGACCAGGUGCUGUAGGUG